rnacentral:misc_RNA from 1 species
AAAUAACUAGAAAAGCAUCUUUAUGAUUGUCAAGCAGGCACUUUAAAAUUAGAAUUCCGAGUAUCAGUUUCCUUUCUUUUUCAAUUACAUCUUCUUAAUCUGCCCCAACACAUCUUAUAGAUCAAAUCCUAAACACCAACCAACCACACCUUAAACUUAAGUUCAACAUGAGGCAUAGUCCCCAGCACUAUCAAUGACCAAUAAAAAAAUGAACAAUUGGCUACCAACUUUGCAAACAAGGCAUCAAUCUUGAUUAUCUCAUUCUCAAGACCACCUAUAUCUUUCUACUUAUCAACAAUCUUCAAUCCUCUUUGUCACCACCAAUGACUAUUCCCAAUAGGGCAAUAUUUCUAUCAAUCACUGGAUGAAGCUAGGUUUUCUUUUUAUUUCACCUUUUAAUCUUCUUCUCUGCUCACAAAAUAUUUAAAAUUUUCAUCUUUUGUUCUUUUAUUAUUAUUAUUA